CACAAUCCUCAAAGGCUGUGAGACCCUCCUGGACACCAGCCUGACUUUUGUGAGAAGGGGCACGGCACCCUGCCUCCCCCCAACCUCAAGGCCGACCCUGUCAUCUGCUGGGCCCAGAGCCAGCCUCCCUGUGUCCUGGCUCUCCCUGAGCUGCAUUGGGCCCAAGCUGGAAGUUGGCCAAAGAAUGAUCUCUCCUGGGGUGGGCACUGUCACCACAGUCCAGGAAUCUGCUCCAUUGCCCUGAGCCUAAGCAUUUCCUCCCCUCCUGAGGGGCAGGGCUGGAUGUGGAGACCAGACAAGGGGGCCCAGCAAGGUUCCAGGCAGUGAUGGACGUGGGCAGGAGACAGGCUGGUGGCCCAGAGCAGGCCUGGGAAGAUGCAGCAUCAGGGAGGGCUUCCCGAGGAGGCAUCACUGGAGUCGAGUCUUGAAGGUGAAAUUGACCUUUCCCUGAAGAGGUGGGAAUGACAAAAUAAGAUGAGAAGACCCGAUGGAGCUUCAAUUAAUUAAAAAAAAAAAACAAAGGUCAAAGACCAAGGGCAGAGGUCUUCCAGAGGUCAAGUCUAAUCUAUCUAUGGAUGUGGCAGGCUUAACUAUGGAUGUUCAAGCCAGACAUUGCCAGCAGAACCACAUCUCUUCACCCAUAGAACCACAUGCUUCUCAGACUGGUGGAUGCACAGCUCCACUUCUUUGCAGGGAGGACGACAACAGCAGAAUAUCCGUGGCCCGAAUUUCUGGAGCAUCAGUAUUACUACAAGACUUGGAAGAAGCAAAGUUAGGUCAUUUCCAAGAGCACUUUCCUACUUUCUGGCACUACAAGUUGUUCCAGGCUCAUCUUGUGUUUUCCAUCUCCAGCCCUAGAAUUAAACAUUUCUCCAAGAAAACCUGGUUCUUUUUAUUGGAGAACGAUAUUUAGAAACCAAGAUCUGGGAGCUAGGUGUGCUCAUUGAUACUAGGAUGUCACUGCUUCUAGACCCUCUCAGCAGAGUUUGGAAAUAUUGUUUUGGCUAUUCAGGGUCCCUUGAGAGUCCAUAUGCAUUUUAGGAUAGAUUUUUCUAUUUUUGCAAAAAACAUCAUUGGAACUUUUACCUCUUUGAGUCAACAGUGUUGCCCAGCACAAAGGAAUUUUCCACCUUCUCAAACUCAGUAGAGCAAAGAUGAAACUUCAUUCCCCCUGCAAGCCCUACUGCCCCAGAGAAAAGCAAAAACAAUGGAGACUGAGAUCUCAAAAUUAUCAAGAGGCUGAAGCUCCCCAACUCCCGCUUCCUGGAGCCGAAUCCACCAUUCAUCACAGGGACAGACAGAGGACACCUGCAUCUCCCCUAACUCAGCUAAACGCAGGCUGAUGGGAGGACGCCGAACUGCAAAGCUGCAGCUCCCCUCCCCCACCUAAAACCUUGUAAACUGUAAUCGUUAAUUGGCAGCAGUUGCCGUCCUCUCCCCAAGGCCAAAUUUCAGGUGAUGAGAGAAGAGUGGUGGUUGAUGGAGCCUUAAAUCUCCUGCUGUAGAUAGAGAUGACAGCCGGCUUGGCGCCAGAAGACUGGGAUCCCUCCUCCAACAAAUAAUCAGUCACCAAGGAUAUAUUCUUUCCCACAGACUUUCCUUUAAAAACCUCAACUCCUA